GACAACAUGUCCGAGUGGUUAAGGAGAUUGACUCGAAAUCAAUUGGGCUUCGCCCGCGUAGGUUCAAAUCCUGCUGUUGUCG
rnacentral:tRNA from 1 species